CCAAAUAUCUCAUGAGAGAUAUUGGAAAACUCAGUUAUCAGAAGCAGACUUCAUCCAUCGAAGGUUUCCACCGAGUGGUGAUUCUUUUUGCACCAAAACAUACCCAUUUUUUCUACAGAUCAAUGGAAGCAAGAUUGUUUAUUGCUGCUCUUCAUUUCAAUGAGAAUGGAAA